UACGUAGGGUGCGAGCGUUGUCCGGAAUUAUUGGGCGUAAAGAGCUUGUAGGCGGUUUGUUGCGUCGGCUGUGAAAUCCCGAGGCUCAACCUCGGGUCUGCAGUCGAUACGAGCAAACUAGAGUGUUGCAGGGGAGACUGGAAUUCCUGGUGUAGCGGUGAAAUGCGCAGAUAUCAGGAAGAACACCCGUGGCGAAGGCGGUUCUCUGGGACGGUACUGACGCUGAGACGCGAAAGCGUGGGGAGCGAACAGG
rnacentral:rRNA from 1 species